rnacentral:rRNA from 1 species
GACGAACGCUAGCGGCGUGCUUAACACAUGCAAGUCGAACGGAAAGGCCCUGCUUUUGUGGGGUGCUCGAGUGGCGAACGGGUGAGUAACACGUGAGUAACCUGCCCUUGACUUUGGGAUAACUUCAGGAAACUGGGGCUAAUACCGGAUAGGAGCUCCUGCUGCAUGGUGGGGGUUGGAAAGUUUCGGCGGUUGGGGAUGGACUCGCGGCUUAUCAGCUUGUUGGUGGGGUAGUGGCUUACCAAGGCUUUGACGGGUAGCCGGCCUGAGAGGGUGACCGGCCACAUUGGGACUGAGAGACGGCCCAGACUCCUACGGGAGGCAGCAGUGGGGAAUAUUGCACAAUGGGCGGAAGCCUGAUGCAGCAACGCCGCGUGCGGGAUGACGGCCUUCGGGUUGUAAACCGCUUUCGCCUGUGACGAAGCGUGAGUGACGGUAAUGGGUAAAGAAGCACCGGCUAACUACGUG